UGCCUCCAUCUUGCUAUGUAGCUGAGGC
rnacentral:piRNA from 1 species